CAAAAAAUAGUUUAAUAAAAAUUCUAGUUUUGGGGACUAGAGAUGAGGGGUGAUUCCUCUUUUUUGA
rnacentral:tRNA from 1 species